rnacentral:rRNA from 1 species
GAUGAACGCUGGCGGCGUGCUUAACACAUGCAAGUCGAACGAUGAAGCCCAGCUUGCUGGGUGGAUUAGUGGCGAACGGGUGAGUAACACGUGAGUAACCUGCCCUUAACUCUGGGUUAAGCCUGGGAAACUGGGUCUAUAACCGGAUAGGAGCGCCUACCGCAUGGUGGGUGUUGGAAAGAUUUAUCGGUUUUGGAUGGACUCGCGGCCUAUCAGCUUGUUGGUGAGGUAAUGGCUCACCAAGGCGACGACGGGUAGCCGGCCUGAGAGGGUGACCGGCCACACUGGGACUGAGACACGGACCAGACUCCUACGGGAGGCAGCAGUGGGGAAUAUUGCACAAUGGGCGGAAGCCUGAUGCAGCGACGCCGCGUGAGGGAUGACGGCCUUCGGGUUGUAAACCUCUUUCAGUAGGGAAGAAGCGAAAGUGACGGUACCUGCAGAAGAAGCACCGGCUAACUACGUG